AAUAGCUGRCCGGCGUGCCUAAUACAUGCAAGUCGAGCGAAUGGAUUAAGAGCUUGCUCUUAUGAAGUUAGCGGCGGACGGGUGAGUAACACGUGGGUAACCUGCCCAUAAGACUGGGAUAACUCCGGGAAACCGGGGCUAAUACCGGAUAACAUUUUGAACYGCAUGGUUCGAAAUUGAAAGGCGGCUUCGGCUGUCACUUAUGGAUGGACCCGCGUCGCAUUAGCUAGUUGGUGAGGUAACGGCUCACCAAGGCAACGAUGCGUAGCCGACCUGAGAGGGUGAUCGGCCACACUGGGACUGAGACACGGCCCAGACUCCUACGGGAGGCAGCAGUAGGGAAUCUUCCGCAAUGGACGAAAGUCUGACGGAGCAACGCCGCGUGAGUGAUGAAGGCUUUCGGGUCGUAAAACUCUGUUGUUAGGGAAGAACAAGUGCUAGUUGAAUAAGCUGGCACCUUGACGGUACCUAACCAGAAAGCCACGGCUAACUACGUGCCAGCAGCCGCGGUAAUACGUAGGUGGCAAGCGUUAUCCGGAAUUAUUGGGCGUAAAGCGCGCGCAGGUGGUUUCUUAAGUCUGAUGUGAAAGCCCACGGCUCAACCGUGGAGGGUCAUUGGAAACUGGGAGACUUGAGUGCAGAAGAGGAAAGUGGAAUUCCAUGUGUAGCGGUGAAAUGCGUAGAGAUAUGGAGGAACACCAGUGGCGAAGCGACUUUCUGGUCUGUAACUGACACUGAGCGCGAAAGCGUGGGGAGCAAACAGGAUAGAUACCCUGGUAGUCCACGCCGUAAACGAUGAGUGCUAGUGUUAGAGGUUUCCGCCCUUUAGUGCUGAAGUUAACGCAUAAGCACUCG
rnacentral:rRNA from 1 species